UCCGGAGGGGACUAUCGUUGUUCGGAAUUACUGGGCGUAAAGCGCACGUAGGCGGAUUCGUAAGUCAGGGGUGAAAUCCCGAGGCUCAACCUCGGAACUGCCUUUGAUACUGCGAAUCUCGAGUCCGGAAGAGGUGAGUGGAAUUCCUAGUGUAGAGGUGAAAUUCGUAGAUAUUAGGAAGAACACCAGUGGCGAAGGCGGCUCACUGGUCCGGUACUGACGCUGAGGUGCGAAAGCGUGGGGAGAAAACAGG
rnacentral:rRNA from 1 species